GUACGAUCAAGGACAUUGUGACCCGGUAUCAAUCCAUGACGGGUCAUCAUGUGACCCGAAGAUUUGGUUGGGAUUGUCACGGGUUACCUGUUGAACAUGAAAUUGAUGAGAAACUUGGGAUUAAGAUGAAGCAACAAGUGAUUGAUAUGGGGAUUGAUAAGUAUAAUGAGGAGUGUAGGUCAAUUGUUACGAGGUAUGUUGGCGAAUGGGAGAAGACGGUGGUGAGGAUGGGAAGGUGGAUUGAUUUUGAGAAUGGGUAUAAGACUAUGGAUUUGAAGUUUAUGGAGAGUGUUUGGUGGGUUUUUGCUCAGUUGUAUCAAAAGGGGCUCGUUUAUCGUGGCUUCAAGGUAUGCCCUUUUAGGUCACACUCGGUUUUAUAAUGUAUCGUAUUUUACAUCAUACUGUAUUGUUUUAAUGAGUAUGUAUUUUUUAUUGUUACAUAAUGUUGCACAUCAAUAAUUUGAAGGAUAAACCUAUGAUAAAAGUAGGUAUAGAGUAGAGCUACGAUAAAAAGGUAGGGUAAAGGAUAAUGUAAGGUUAUUAAAUAGUAAAGAGCUACUGCCUCAUUAUGGGCACAUAUUAGCGGGUAGGAUCAAGGACAUUGUGACCUGAUACCAAUCGAUGAUGGGUCAUCAUGUGACCCUAAGAUUUGGUUGGGAUUGUCAUGGGUUACCUGUUGAACAUGAAAUUGAUGAGAAACUGGGGAUUAAGAUGAAGCAACAAGUGAUUGAUAUGGGGAUUGAUAAGUAUAAUGAGGAGUGUAGGUCAAUAUUUACGAGGUAUGUUGGCGAGUGGG
rnacentral:lncRNA from 1 species